rnacentral:rRNA from 1 species
UACGGAGGGUGCGAGCGUUGUCCGGAAUCAUUGGGCGUAAAGGGCGCGUAGGUGGCCUGCUAAGCGUGCCGGUGAAAGCCCGGGGCUCAACCCCGGGUCGGCCGUGCGAACUGUCGAGCUGGAGCACUGUAGAGGCAGGUGGAAUUCCGGGUGUAGCGGUGGAAUGCGUAGAGAUCCGGAAGAACACCGGUGGCGAAGGCGGCCUGCUGGGCAGUGGCUGACGCUGAGGCGCGACAGCGGUGGGGAGCAAACAGG